rnacentral:rRNA from 1 species
GACGGACGCUGGCGGCGUGCUUAACACAUGCAAGUCGAACGGUAAGGCCCUUCGGGGUACACGAGUGGCGAACGGGUGAGUAACACGUGGGUGAUCUGCCCUGCACUUCGGGAUAAGCCUGGGAAACUGGGUCUAAUACCGGAUAGGACCACUGCCUGCAUGGGUGGUGGUGGAAAGCUUUUGCGGUGUGGGAUGGGCCCGCGGCCUAUCAGCUUGUUGGUGGGGUGAUGGCCUACCAAGGCGACGACGGGUAGCCGGCCUGAGAGGGUGACCGGCCACACUGGGACUGAGAUACGGCCCAGACUCCUACGGGAGGCAGCAGUGGGGAAUAUUGCACAAUGGGCGCAAGCCUGAUGCAGCGACGCCGCGUGAGGGACGACGGCCUUCGGGUUGUAAACCUCUUUCAGCACCGACGAAGCGCAAGUGACGGUAGGUGCAGAAGAAGGACCGGCCAACUACGUGCCAGCCGCCGCGGUAA